rnacentral:rRNA from 1 species
AACGAACGCUGGCGGCAUGCCUAACACAUGCAAGUCGAACGAGACCUUCGGGUCUAGUGGCGCACGGGUGCGUAACGCGGGGGAACCUGCCCUUAGGUUCGGAAUAACUCCCCGAAAGGGGUGCUAAUACCGGAGAAUGUCUUCGGACCAAAGAUUUAUCGCCUUUGGAUGGGCCCGCGUUGGAUUAGCUAGUUGGUAGGGUAAAAGCCUACCAAGGCGACGAUCCAUAGCUGGUCUGAGAGGAUGAUCAGCCACACUGGGACUGAGACACGGCCCAGAAUGCUACGGGAGGCAGCAGUGGGGAAUAUUGGACAAUGGGCGAAAGCGUGAUCCAGCAAUGCCGCGUGAGUGAUGCAGGCCUUAGGGUUGUAAAGCUCUUUUACCCGGGAUGAUAAUGACAGUACCGGGAGAAUAAGCACCGGCUAACUCCGUG